rnacentral:rRNA from 1 species
GAGUGAUGAAGGCCCUAGGGUCGUAAAGCUCUUUCGCCAGGGAUGAUAAUGACAGUACCUGGUAAAGAAACCCCGGCUAACUCCGUGCCAGCAGCCGCGGUAAUACGGAGGGGGUUAGCGUUGUUCGGAAUUACUGGGCGUAAAGCGCGCGUAGGCGGAUCAGAAAGUUGGGGGUGAAAUCCCGGGGCUCAACCCCGGAACUGCCUCCAAAACUCCUGGUCUUGAGUUCGAGAGAGGUGAGUGGAAUUCCGAGUGUAGAGGUGAAAUUCGUAGAUAUUCGGAGGAACACCAGUGGCGAAGGCGGCUCACUGGCUCGAUACUGACGCUGAGGUGCGAAAGUGUGGGGAGCAAACAGGAUUAGAUACCCUGGUAGUCCACACCGUAAACGAUGAAUGCCAGUCGUCGGGUAGCAUGCUAUUCGGUGACACACCUAACGGAUUAAGCAUUCCGCCUGGGGAGUACGGUCGCAAGAUUAAA